GUAGGAAUCUAAAACCUAUUUUAUUGCGUCUUCUUUUUUCCCUGUUUUAGCUUGGGUGCAGUAAUAUCUAACCAGUCGUCGAUUCAGGAAUACUUUGUAUAAAAAUAUCAAUGGUGCAAGACAACAAUAAGACCAAGUUGAUCAAGACCAAAUUAAUUUAAACCAAUCAACUUUUAGAACGGUCUUCAGCCCGGUACUGGGUCAUUCCGGAAGUCACCUUUUAUUGUGUUGACUUUAAAUUCAUUGACUUUAUUUUUCUUACUAAUUAAUUAGUGGUUUAGUUGUCAGUUAAUUCGAGACCCAUGUAAGCAGGAAGAGAAUUUCUUUAAAUAUCUUUUUACAUCAUGAACUACUACCCAAGUCCAGGAGUUCAACAGACCAUUGUAGGUCAGGAUAAACAGGGCUAUUAUGCUGCUAGUCCUGGUUAUCCAGCCCAGGCCUUUCCACCAGGAGGGUUAACACCUGGUACUGUGGGGCAGCCAGGUGCCGGUAUGCCAUCUAUUGGUCAACAUCAAGCUAGUUCCUACGGGCAACCGUCUCAAGCAUAUGCCAUGGCUUACUCUGGGAGUCCUGUUUAUUCAGCCCUGUCCUCGGCAGCCUAUGGUUCAUCAAUGCCACCCUCUUUAGGGACACCACAAGCUGCCUUUCAAGGACUUGGUGGUCAUCCGGCUGGUCAUCCAGGAGGUCAUCCAGGUGGACAUCCAGCUGGUGUUCCGUCAACAAUGGCUGCCCAUAUUUCAGUUGCUAACUCUUUACCCUAUCAGCAAGCAUCGACUUAUUCCCAGCCAACAUACAUAGCAACCCCGAUAAUGACAAGUCUAGAACAACCAGUCUACAAUCCACAGUUUUCCAGUCCAAUGUAUCAAACAUCUUCUCCGUAUGCUGGUUAUCCUGGGGUACAGAUGCAACAAGCUCAUCCUUCGUAUCCUAAUCUCGGCUAUUCUGCGGCUGGACUGGCAUCAACAAGGGGACUGAACCCUUCUUACCCGGGUGCUAUGGGCUUCGUGCCACGCUAUUCCUACAAGUAGUAUAACACGUAAAUAGUAGUCCAGUAUUUAAUUAAUAUUAGUGAUGGACAGUUUUAUACCCUACUGUUAAAACAUGAAUCUAAUGCUGCAAAAAAUUAAUGCUCAUUCUCCACAAUAUACAACAAACUAAUACCAAAAAUAACAUAAACAUAUUGUUGAAACUAAUACAGAUCUAUCGAAAGAUCCACAAGUAUAGAUCUAUCGAAAAUAACAUAUAAAAUUAAUAUUGAAAAAUUUGAUGUAGGCCUAGAGGAAAAAUGUUUUAUAAAAUAUGGAAUAAGAAACUCUAAUCUUUCUCAUCCAAGAAUAUCCACAAUUUAUGUAGAAACAUAUUUUUUUUUCCUGCAAUAUCUACAUCCUUGUGAAAUUAAAGUCCCUGAUGGAUGAUAGAAAUGGAGCAAUAUUAAAAUGCUAGCAAUAGUUUCUUGUUUUACAGUCAGCGAUAUAAAUGUCUAAAUAAUGGGACUGACCACUAAAUGAAUAUUAACAUGUUUAUUUUAGGGUCAGCUGGAUAACUCUAAUAGUUUAGUUUAAUAUCUGGUGGUAACGUACAUAGUUUCAGUUGAUCCAGUCUACAUAGGGUCUAGUUGAUCCAGUCUAUGUAGAUAUUGGGUCUAGCUGGAAGAUAUUUUAAAUCAGCCUCUGUCUGUUUUUGUUUGUUUAAACAUUUAACCAAAUUUGUCUAAAAUAAUUUUUAAAAGUUUAUGACCCGGUAAAUUCUGGCAAUCUGUAUUCCAGUUCUAUUACACGACUAUUUGAAUUGUUGUUAGCAUACAUGUAGAUCUGAGGCCUAGAAUGGAAUACAGUCUUGCUUCUAAAUCCAAUCCUGCAUUUAAAAUAUGAUUCAUGUUUUUUUUUAAUGAAAAAAUGCAAUAUUAAAAAAUUUAUCAGGAUAGCUAGGCAAGGCGGCUCUAGGGGUAAAGGGGGUGGGGUGGGGACAAGGGUAAGGGGGGUGGACAAAGGGUUAUUAUAAACUGUAAAAUGAGACAGAUCAUAAAGGGCAAAGUUCAAGUCUUUAGACCAACCACUGAUAUUCUGCCUUUUAACAUAAAAAUGGUAAUAUGACCUAUUCAUUUACAUAAAAUGAAGCUAUUUUAUUAGGGUUAAGCAAAAAUAAAUUUUGUAUUUAGUAAUCUGACCAUUCAUUUAGAUAUGGAAUUGUAAAAUGAAGCCAUUCGUUAAAAGUUUGAUGUAGUAUAAACAAUAAGUGGGUUUAAAUUAUAUUAAAAAAAACGUUCAAUUGUAAAGCGUUAGAUUAUGGUCGCGAAAAUGGUGUAAUAUUGUUCUAUGUUUCCCUGGUAUUUUUCUCCAUGUUUUCAUUGUUAUUAAAAUAUAUAUUGAAUAAUUCCUUAAAAAUAUAUCACGGACAGUUUUCUUAAAAUAUCUGCCAGGGUGUUAUGGGAAGGGUAAAAUGUUACUAUUUAUAGUAACUAUCUAUGCAUCGUGUUGUGUAUGUUAAAUGGGGCAUCAUCUUAGUGCAAUACAGCGUAUAUAUGCAUUUUACUUUAAAAUCAAUCAUUUCUGAAUUGAAGUUGGGAUCAUGUUCUCUCCCUAUAUUCUAAAAUCAUGUGAUCCAAGAUUUAAUUUGGACAUGAAUAAGUUAUUCACUAUAGACCUGUUCAUUUUUUAAAGGGGGAAUAAGGUGUUAAGCAAUACAUAUACUGAACCAAAUUUGAGCCAAACAGACGAGAAAUUAAGACUAAAAACUUACAUUUGAAGUAAAAUGACACCUGAUUUUUAGAGCCUUAUUUUUCAUGGACGCCAUGUUUAUUAUAUUACUUUAUUUUCAGAGGAUUUUUGUGGAUGAAUUUUUUUAAAUAAGGACGUUUGUUGACAUUGUAAAUAUAAUAUUUAUAUUUUAAAAUGAUCAACUUACUUCCGGUGGUCUUUCUUAUCAACAGAAGCAGAUCAGUUGAUGUAAGAUGCCCUCUUUAUCAUUCUCCAUACCCCCUGGUUCAUUCAUGAUAUAUUUAUACCCCUCGUGGUGAUACCGUCUGACUCAUUCAUGAUAUAUUUAUACCCCUCGUGGUGAUACCCCCUGGUUCAUUCAUGAUAUAUUUAUACCCCUCGUGGUGAUACCGUCUGACUCAUUCAUGAUAUAUUUAUACCCCUCGUGGUGAUACCCCCUGGUUCAUUCAUGAUAUAUUUAUACCCCUCGUGGUGAUACCCCCUGGUUCAUUCAUGAUAUAUUUAUACCCCUCGUGGUGAUACCCCCUGGUUCAUUCAUGAUAUAUUUAUACCCCUCGUGGUGAUACCCCCUGGUUCAUUCAUGAUAUAUUUAUACCCCUCGUGGUGAUACCCCCUGGUUCAUUCAUGAUAUAUUUAUACCCCUCGUGGUGAUACCGUCUGACUCAUUCAAGAUAUAUUUAUACUCCUUGCAAUGUGCCCUGGAUCGUUCAAGAUACACUCCAUGCCUAUCGCGAAGCCUCAAGUCUGUUACUGACCAAGGGCUUGGGGCGGGAUGUGUGCUUACACGGAAGUUUUAGAUAGCUGUAUACAUUUACUACAUGUUUGGUUUUUGUGUGGGUAGGUCUUGCAUGUGCACCAAUCCUCUAAUGAAGCUAAGCAUACACCAUUUAUUGUGCUUUAAGGAAAAAUUUCACAUGCACUUUGUCAGAUUUCAACUGUUAUAAGAUCUGUUAUAUGCAUUUUUUGUUGCAUCCGAAAGUCACAAGACCGAAGGCCCAUGGUUGUAUACAUGUAGUACACGUUUUAUUUACGCGAGUCUUGGGCUGUGGGGGUUCCUGGCAGACGGCAUCUUACAUCAACCAGGCACCAAUUCUCUUUUUAACCUGAAAAACAGGUGGACAUUAUGGCAAGAUUUUUUGUAUAAAGCUGAAAUUUGAUAUUUCCUGUACGGUAGAACUUUUGAGUGAUUUAUUAAUAAGUUUAUAGUUCCAAGUAUUUUCUGUGAGUAAUGUUGUAAAUUAUUCUCAAAACUCCUCAUUUCUCAUUAAACAUGUCGUCAUGGUUUCUACGUGUUGUCAUGGUUUCAACAGGUCGUCAUGGUUUCAACACGCCACAGAUUGGAAAAUUAGCAUCACGUAAUCACAGAUAUAGCCAAACAUAACAACUCUUCUAGUCGUCAGAACUUGGCAACUGACUUAAAAAAGACAAAAAACGUUUGGAUUUUACGAAAAAGUCUGUGAACAUGGUAGUAGCUACCCGAGCAAUACGAUAAAAGAUAUUUUAUCAAGAGUGGAGUCAUGUUUUUUGAGAGAGGAUGAGCUAAUGAGAAUGACUGUAAAUAUAUUUGUACAAUAAGCUAAGCUUUGGAUUGAACAGCAAACAUUCUUUUUGUUUGUUUUUUUUUUUAGGUUAUUAUAUUGAUCAGAUCUCUCCAGUUCCAAAAGAUAAAAAUAUACCGAUUAUUUCUUCUCACACCUUGCCUUAUAAGGAGAGUGAUGACACAUCCUAACUUAAAUUUGAAUUUGAAAUUUUGGAGAACAACUAUAAACCAACCAAGGUGAUAAAAAUUAACGCUCCAUAAACAAACUAUACAAUUAGUAGGCUGUUAUCUUCUGCUAUUCAAAUAAAAUAUUGGGACUGUCUCACUUCGCUAUUCACAUAUUUCCUUAUAAUGGCAAGGUCUGUUUUUAUUCCAUUCAGUUUUACCGAAAGUCAUCAUAUUUUAAAAUCUUUAAAGGUUUUUUUUUACCUGGCUGAUAUGUUGAUUAUCGUUUUCAUCUUUUGUUUCUAAUAAAUAUUAAAUUUAUUAGUAAGUAAUGUCACCUGAUUUUGAUCCAUUUAUAUAAACAAUUAGAUUUUAUUCCAUACAGAGGUCAAAAGUAAGAUGGAUUUGUUUUCAAUUGGGGGUGAGGAGGGUUUCUGAAAGAGAGAAACUUGGGUUUCCGACAGAGAGAAUGUUACUUUAAGGGCAUCAUGUGCAGUAUAUAGUGCUAAAGAUUCUAUAAUGAGUGGAGUUAUUAAGGGCCUAUUAAUUAGAUCUAUUUUACAUAAUGGGGUACAUGUAGUAUGGUAUUAUCAUUUACAUCUUGGUUUCCAUUUACGUUUGUUUUUUUUUCUCUAGAAAACAGGUUCAAAGGAACACAAUCUCUCUGAUAUAGAUAGAAAUUGAAUUGGUUAAUCUCUUUGGACAAACCCUGGACAAAUCUUAAAAGAGUUAGUGGCAAUUUAUUUUAGUAUGAGUUUGGAGGAAAAACUAUUGACAACAAAAAGUCGUAUAUUUAAUCCACAGAUUGUGAAAUCCAGGUCCCAACCAUUGCGAUAGAUUAUCUAUAAAUAGUAAUGAUGCAGGGUAUUCUGGCUGUUCUAGAACAUCUAAUAUCACUUCUCAUAACCAGAAAAUUUUGAUGUACUUUAGUAUUGAAUCCAUCUGGGCAUUUUUAAUUUAAAAAUUGAGGCAUUAAGUUUACUGAAAUCGAAAAAGUUUUUUUUUUUUUUACCCAAAUGAAAGAAAAUCGGUAAAAUUUGUUGAUUGUGUUCUAUAUAUAUUGAUACACCUGAUUAAUCAGCAUAAUAUUAUAAACAUACUGAUAAAUACCUAUAUCUGUUACUAUGGUGAUAUUGUUUUAGGUCAUCCCUAUUAAAACAAGUAUAACAUCUAGCCCAAGAUUUAAAAACUAAAGUCUAUGAUAUAUGGGUAACUAUGUAUUGUUUAAUGGUUGAAAGCGACACAUUAAGUAAUAUAUUGUAACAACACGAGGGCCGUGAGGCCCGAAUGUUUUUACAAUAUAUUAUGCAAUGUCUUAAGCUCGAGACCAUUAAACAACUUAAAAUACAGACACUUGCACGUGCUUUGCAAUGAAAUACGUCACUCGAUUUCAAUAUUUUACCAAGUUACGCUUGGCACAUUGCCCAUACGAUUAUUUGAAAUAAUGGUACUCCAACAUCAAAGGGUGACGUCUCAUCUGUAUUUUAACUGAUCAUAGAGCAGUUUUCUUUUAAAACUGAGUUAUUAUUGAUUUUAAUGAUUUCUGACCGUGGAAUAAUAUAACUAUUAGUAAUAAACAUUGGUUUAAUCAUGUUAAAGUCUGUCAUAACCUUCACGUCGGUCAAAUCCGUUGAAGUCUUGAUGCAUCAUUUUAUUGUGAUAGGAAUCACUGGCAAACUACAAUCUCUAUCGGUCCAACAAUGAUUCAGUUCCGUUCAGCUUUUACAAAUAUAUGUGGAAUUAAAAUUUCAUCGAUCUAUCCUGUUCCAUAUAUAAUAAGCCCACUGCCAUUUUGUUGUCUUCGGAAAAUUAUUGAUAGACAUGUUUGAUUGAAUCCAUGCCUGGAGGUUAUCUAGCUUUGGUAUUUUGAUUAUGUUUUCCUGUUCAAUAAUCAAUCGGGGUACAAUAGUGUGGAUUAACCUGACCUGUUACAAAUUUGAUAUUUUAACAAAAAAUUCAAAUGAUGCAUCUACUUUUGAUACCUAGCCGACCAUGGGACAGACUGUAGUCAUUUGCUACAUGUACCUAGCUGACCAUGGAACAGGUUGUAGUCAUUUGCAAGGAGGUUGUAAAUAUCAGAUUUUUUCCUACCAAAAAAUUCAUUUUUACACAAUGUUUGAAUUUUUUGUCUAGUUUAGUUGGUUAUAUUUUAUUUUACUUUAGAGAAUUUAUGCCAAGGUUUUUUUUUUUUUUUGUUCUGAUUUAUUUUUCCAUUCUUCCAAUAUUAUAAUAUACUCUUUAUUUUACUAUGACGACAUGUUACUAUGACAACAUGCCUUUUAUUGUGUUAAAAUAAAGCUAAAGCUUGUAAAAUAU